rnacentral:rRNA from 1 species
UACGGAGGGUGCGAGCGUUGUCCGGAAUCACUGGGCGUAAAGGGCGCGUAGGCGGCGCGGGGAGUCAACGGUGAAAGCUCGGCGCUCAACGCCGAGUCGGCCGUCGAUACUCCCGUGCUUGAGCACUGUAGAGGCAGGUGGAAUUCCGGGUGUAGCGGUGGAAUGCGUAGAGAUCCGGAAGAACACCGGUGGCGAAGGCGGCCUGCUGGGCAGUUGCUGACACUGAGGCGCGACAGCGUGGGGAGCAAACAGG